rnacentral:lncRNA from 1 species
GGGGAGCACAUAGAGAAGGAAGGGGGAGGAGGGCCUUGAGACUGUGGGACUUGCCAGAGGAGGGAAAAGAGGCUGGGCUAGAAAAGGGCUGGGCCAGCCUGGGGUGCUGCUGGAGCCAGCUGGGGCAGAGUCUGUUUAUUUGGUUUCUCAUUAACCAAAGGAAGUGCUUGGAUCAGAUCAGGCCUCUGCUAUUUGACUGCUUGCCCAGAGUGGGGCCCAGCCUGGGCCGAGGGUCUCUGACCAGGGCCAGCUCUCAGCAGAUUGGGGUCUCUGCCUGACCUCAGGUCAGAGAAGAGGCCACCAAAGUUCAGGAGAGAAGAAGAGUUGGGACUGGAGAGUCUAGGUCUGUCCUUCUACUGUGAUCUCCUGGGGCAACAGGUGUCAGAGCCACCAUGGGAAGUGGUCCAUGUUGUGAACUACAAGAGUGUGAGUAGGGACUGAUAAUCAGCCAGCAUUCUGCUCAUCAACCUCUGCCUACUAAAGGAGCCCUCCACUAAUGGUACCAAGGUGCCGAGUGGGUGGGUGGGGCCUGGAGGAAGAGGGCUGGAAAUGACGACUUCUACAAGGCCUUCCCAAAUGAGAAACCUGGGUCCGUUCGCUGCAACACAUAUCUGGCCUCCACCCCAGAUGUGCAGCCGUCCCAGCAGCCAGAGGCCAGCUCACCCCACCCAGAUCGCCGGCCAGCUGCAGCCCCCUGUUUCCCAGGGAAGAGAACUAAUAAAGGACAGUCUUGAAGCCUC